UACGAAGGGGGCUAGCGUUGCUCGGAAUCACUGGGCGUAAAGCGCACGUAGGCGGAUCUUUAAGUCAGGGGUGAAAUCCUGGAGCUCAACUCCAGAACUGCCUUUGAUACUGAGGACCUUGAGUUCGGGAGAGGUGGGUGGAACUGCGAGUGUAGAGGUGAAAUUCGUAGAUAUUCGCAAGAACACCAGUGGCGAAGGCGGCUCACUGGCCCGAUACUGACGCUGAGGUGCGAAAGCGUGGGGAGCAAACAGG
rnacentral:rRNA from 1 species